GAGGGAAGAUGAACCAGUCUUUUUUUUUUUUUUUUUUUUUUAAUGAGUGAAAAAUUUUUUAAAUGAGUGGGUGAAAAGAGUGUAAUUGGCCACAAGCAUUUUUUGUCCUCUGAGGGCUUCAGUUGCUUUAUUUAAUGAAAGAAUAAUACCUUCCUCUUCUACUGAAAAACAUAAAAAUACUUUGAGCUGUUGGAGAGAAAGAAGUAAAGUUAAGAUACUUGAAAAAUUCUUUUUUCUGUAGGAAGGCUAUCUUGUUGGGUUUUUUUAAGGCUAGUUUUUUCAUAAAGAGCAGAUUCUUCUUCAUGUCUUUUCUAGGCUUUUCUCCUCUAUUUUAUGUGAAUGAGACUUUUCUUUGUUUUUUAUAUGCAAAUAGUAGGAGAGUUUUUUGUGACCUUAUAAUAACAUUAGAGAAGUGUUCCAGUACCACAUUUAUCAAAAAUUUCAUAAUUAAAGGUAGCAUAGAGGUCGCACAAAGAGGGUUAGUGUUAAAUUAUUAAAGAGUGACUAAAACACAAAAAAA